rnacentral:lncRNA from 1 species
UGGCUAGUUACAGGACUCCCUUCACGGCUCCUCUACAAUUCUUUAAAGGCCUGAAGCGUUGGACUGUAUUACUCUCCUUUCCAGGACUGUGUAGAAGACAGACCAAACUGGAACGUGAGGCAUCUUCUCUCUCCUCUUAAUACUUCUUUAUUAUGCAAGUAUGGUGAUCAUUGUCUGCAGUAACAGUGGAACAAUUCUGUAGCUGCCCUGCAAAUUAGAAGAAAAUGGUAUAUUUCCCCAGUCCAGCUAUCAUCAUAGCUCAUCUUCAAAAUUGUGUACCACAGGGUUUGUUGAAACACUCAUUUUAUUCUUCUUGCUUGGCUCAUACCUUAGUGUGAUUCCUGAGUUUUACACCCAGCAAUAAACAUGAGCGGAGUAUAUGAGUUGAUUUUGAUUUACCUGCAGGUAUUAAAAGGAACUUUCACUCCUUCCUCCAAGUUUCCUGACAGCUUUUAAAUUCAGUGUAAUGAAAUCUCCCUCCAGCCAUUAAUCAACCACCAUAAAGCUCAAGAACUUCACCUGUUAAAAAAAAAAAAAGAAAAACAUCCUUUACUGUGAUCUGCUAAUACAUUGUUACAGCACUUUUCCUUAACAGAAGUCUCUGGCUUUGAGACAUCAGCUCUUGUUUGCAGCGACUGCCCCCCACCCUGAUCAGCGAGCUUGCGGCCUUGCUGAGCUGAGGGUAGUGCAAGGCAAGUGCAUGCGAAAUCCACCCUUUUUACUGGCAGAGCUAAGGAUGAUGAUCGUGUCUGCACUCUGAGCUAGCCUGAGAUCCGUCAUCUGCUCCCAAUAGCAGGAGAUGAGCAACUCCCAGUGAGCAACUGUCAGAUACGUAAUGCAGCUCAGCACAAUUGCAGCUCGGAUCCUGGUGGCUGGCUUAAUAACUUCCCUGUAGUUUUUCUUUCUCUCUUCCUCUCUGUCUCCCCUGCGCCCCCAUCCAGCACGGAACAGCCUGAAGGAAUAGGCACGGACUGCACUUUGGUUCCUGUUGGGGUUGUGCUGGGACUCGCUCGACCAGAUCCUUGCUACAGCUCUGGGGCGUGCCACUUGCUCUGCUGCUGCCCUCCCGUAGGGUCAAAGAGCCACAUCCCAUCAAAGGAAAACGAGAAUAUGUUUAACAAAUACAGAACCCUAACAAACCGAUAAGCAAAAUGAAAUGGAACACAUGGCGAACUGUCGUGAGAAGACGG